UUUCCGUAGGUGAACCUGCGGAAGGAUCAUUAUCGUAUAACCGAGGUGCGAGGGCUGUCGCUGACCCGAAAGGUCGUGCACGCCCGAGUGCCCUCACACACAUCCAUCUCACCCCUAUGUGCACCACCGCGUGGGUCCCCCUUUGGCUUGUUCGGAGGUGGGCUUACGUUUUCACACAAACUUUGUAUGCAGUGUAGAAUGUAUUUUUUGUUUUUGCGAUCACGCAAUCAAUACAACUUUCAACAACGGAUCUCUUGGCUCUC
rnacentral:misc_RNA from 1 species